UAAAAAUCCCAGAGAACUGAACCGAUAAGUUUCGUUCCCAUCAAAGAAAGUGAGCGGCGUCGAAUUAUCAGCAGUAGCAAGUCGACGGCCAUGGAUUAAUCGGUCACGGUGAGCCAUAGUAGCAUAAUACUGGAGACUACCCUUGUCUGGCAAGUCAUCAAGGGCUAAAAUCCCCUUGACCGGAUCCGAAUACCGGUGGUGAAUAUCGAAGCCGAAUGUGCCAAACCCGUUACAACUCCUCGUUAACAUUAACAGUAACAAGAAAAGCAAAGAAUUGUAACAACAAGAACUCGAAGAAGACAUUAGAAUUGGAAAGAAAAUAAAUGGAAGAUUUGGGCUUGAGUGAUUCAGAGAGAAGGAAGAAAGAGGAGGAGAAGAAGGAGACCUCUCUCGACGGGAGAAAGGAGUGUCGUUUUAAGAGAGAGGUGUAAGGU
rnacentral:misc_RNA from 1 species